rnacentral:lncRNA from 1 species
UGAAUGUACACCCCAGGAAUGGAAGAGAGGAAAGCCAGAAAAAGACUCGGUCCCUGAUGGCUGAAGAGCUACCAUACCUGCCCCUAGAUCUUCUAUUUCUGAUCAUCUUCUAUGCAAGGCCUGGAAUGUAAUCAUGGAUAGCCAUGGAUGAUCAGCUUUCAUCAUGUGGGCAUGGAACAAGAUGGAAGGAAGCUGGGGCCCUGAGUGACCUGUGGAGCAGAGGCCUUUGCCCACCCUGGGCUGCCUGAUUUCCCCUGGACUAUCAUGAGACAGAAGAAAAAGCUUCUAUCUUAUUUGAACCACUGUGUUUUGGGAACCUUGGACUAGAGCAGCCUAGCCUUCAUACACUAACAAGGUGUAUGUGUCUGCUCUUUGUUGCUUUUGUAGAUGGUUGUGUUAUAAGCCUGAAUGCAGAAGUUGUUCCCCAGACUACUGGAUUUGCUGCCUUUUAAAACAGGUUUAUUGAACUAUAAUUGACAUACAAUGAACUGCAUAUAGGUAAAGUGUACAAUUUGAUAAGUACACUUUUUGAGCAAAUCCACCCUUUGUUCUGGAAGAAGACACUCUAUAGUCUCAGGCUGUUUCUUUACCAACAUCAACAAGCUAGUCUUAAACAGAGGAACCUCAGUGCCUCACUUUCAAGACAAUCAAGAUUAUUUCCCAACAUUCCACUAGUAGAGGGUCAGAAACAGAGUUAAAAGUUCUCAGACUAGAGGUAGAAUUGAAACCCCAGCUGAGAAGUAUCAAGGUGCCCUCCUUCCCCAAAGCUACAUAUUCUUGUGUCAGGAUCUUACCAGGAAAUGGAAGGCACAUUUACACAGGGCAGCCCAAGAGACUGUUUCAAAGGAAACCAGCAAGAUGUGACAAAGCACCCCAAGACUAGCGACACUGGGAGACCUUCUCACUUGACUUAAAAGGCUGGGGCAGGAGAGUUACAGGACCCAGUAUUAGCUGUAGCCAAAGCCUGGGCAGGGCCACCUAACAUGAGCUGCACCCUUCUGUAGAGCAGCACAGACCUUGUGCAUCUGAGGCCCAGCAGGAUGGGGCCUUGCUCAUCCUUCCCUUGCAGUUCUUGCUAAUGCUUCCUGUUGCCUGAACCCAGCUGGAAGCCAGAGGGCAAGGGAAAUCAAUUGAGACAGAUAAUGGAGGUAAUCCCCUGGGCACAGGGCAGCAUGGCAGAGGUAAGGAGUCUGUCUAGAGCCACAAAGGAAGAGGACUGAGUCCAGAGGUGAAAGCAGUCACGUAUCCCCAAAGACACCUGCUACACAUUUGGGCUUUGAUUUAUCAAUGAGAAGGCUUGAGGGACAGUGGGAAAAAUGAUGAGGAGUCAUUAGGUCCUUGUGGAAAUGGUGCCCUUGAAGGAUGAGCCUGUAAUCACUAGGUACACGUGGGUGGAUGAAUGCUGGUGAAACAGGUGGAGGGAAUGAAAGGACAGAGGCAGCACGAGAACACUGUAAGCAGAGCAGAAGUCCAUGCAAAAGCCAGAGAUGUGAGACAGCACGGGUACAUAUAGGGACCCGCAGGUGGUCUGGAGUGGCUUUGCUGUGGGUUGUGAUGAGAUAUCCACUGUGUUGGAGCUCUGGAACAAAAAGGAGGUCAUCUAAGCUGGUUGCUUCUGUUUUUUUCUUUUCUUUUUUUUCCGGAUGCAUUUCAAUUAGGUGAGGGGUACCAGGCAGAAACCCCUCCUGAAUAUAAACCCUCUGUCUUAUUGUACCAGUUAAAGAUGAACGAUGGCUCACUUCCUAUUGGGUACUAAGUUCAUUAUUUGGGUGACAGGAUCAAUAGAAGCCCAAACCUCAGCAUCAUGCAAUAUACCCAUGUGACAAACCUGUAUCCCCUAAAUCUAAAAUAAUAAUAAAAAAAGAUGUACCAUAGCUCUUAAUUGCUCUUCAAAUCACCCACACCAUUAGAGAAAGCUAUUUCCACCCCAAUCUGAAUUAAAGAAUUCUACAAUCUCCUACAGUCCGAAAGAGAGACUUCAGCUAAAGAGAAAGCUGGUGCUCCUCUUGCUAGCUGAGUGAAUUCUGAUCCUCUUUUUCAUUUUUAUUUUCUUGCUUGAACUCUGCUUUGUUAAAUCAAACACCAGCCCAAAACUGAGCCCAUGGAUCACCAUAUUGGCAGCCUUAUCCUAGAAUCUCAGGGCUGGAAAGAACUCCGAGUACAGCAUUCUCCAGUGUUGGGUGUCAACAGGAGCAGAGUUGGUCUCUUUCGAGAGCUUCCUGGAGAGUCUAUAAAAGCCUGGCUUUUGAACUCUUAUAUUUGGAGGCUGAGAUUCAGAAGGCCUGGGGUGGGGCUUGAGAAUAUAAAUUCUUUAAAAAAAUUUUUUUCUUUUCCUUAGAUAAAUCUUAGAAACCAAAGGGAAUUGAAUUCUUAAGAGGACUUGAAAAUGAUUCUAAUAUAGUCGGGUUAGGGGAAAUCUGGUCUUGAGCUUUUUCUUGGGAGAUGUGGUGAGUCCAAGGCAAGCCAGGCUUCAAUUCUGAAUCUACACUCUUCCCACACAUCUAUGUGGCCUCUGUGCCGAGUCUGAGUUUUAUGUUUUACAAAGAAAACUAGGAGAAAAACUGUUAUUCUUCUGAUUAACAGAAAAGUUGUCCAACUGGCUACACUUGAAUUAUAUCCCCUGAUUAUUAAACUCAGGCUUCUUUAGUUUUCAUUUAUUUUAUUUCAUUGCAUGGAGAUGUUUUAAAAGAGGAAGGCAAGGGGUGUGGGGGAAGGAUUCUGGGAUAGCGACCAUUCUCACCACAUGCAGAAGGCCAAUACUGCUUCCAGAAGGAGACACAAGGAAUCCUUCACUGAGUGAAAGUUUUUUUUCUUCCAGAGAAUAUCAGUAUUCCUACUUUAUAACAAGCCAGGAGCUUUUUCUGCUUCCUGAUUUAAAAAUUGAUUCCUGACUGCAUAGUUCUCACACAAUAGCUUCCUUCUUGCAGGGGCAGUGUGAUUGCCUGGAAUAUAAAUUCUUAGUGGGUUGACCAGGGAUCACGAGCAGUUAUUAUGUUCUCUGCUGCUCUUAACAUGUUGUGAUUCUCAAUAAAUAAUCCAGAGCCAAA